rnacentral:sRNA from 1 species
GCUGGGCGCGGUGACACAUGCCUGUAAUCCCAGUGUCUCGGGAGGCUGAGGCAGGACGAUCACAGGUUCAAAGCCAGCCUCAGCAAUUUAGCAAGGCUGUGAACAACUCAGUGAGACUCUGCCUCUA